UAUGAAGAACGUAGUGAAAUGCGAUAAGUAAUGUGAAUUGCAGAAUUCAGUGAAUCAUCGAAUCUUUGAACGCACAUUGCGCCCGCCAGUAUUCUGGCGGGCAUGCCUGUCUGAGCGUCAUUUCAACCCUCAAGCAACUUCUGCUUGGUGUUGGGGAUCGGCCGUCAAACGCCGCCCCCGAAAUCUAUUGGCGAUCUCGCUGUAGCUUCCUAUGCGUAGUAGUAACAUCUCGCAUCUGGAGAGCGGCGCGGUCAUGCCGUAAAACACCCAACUUCUCAGGUUGACCUCAGAUCAGGUAGGAAUUCCCGCUGAACUUAAGCAUAUCAAUAAGCGGAGGA
rnacentral:misc_RNA from 1 species